rnacentral:piRNA from 1 species
UCGCCCUUAGUUAAAGCCUAUGAUGU